rnacentral:rRNA from 1 species
CACAAGCGGUGGAGUAUGUGGUUAAUUCGAUGCAACGCGAAGAACCUUACCUGGUCUUGACAUCCCGGAGACCCUUAGGAAACUAGGGGGUGCUUCCAUCUGGAAGAAUCUGGAGACAGGUGCUGCAUGGCUGUCGUCAGCUCGUGUCGUGAGAUGUUGGGUUAAGUCCCGCAACGAGCGCAACCCUUGCCUUUAGUUGCCAGCAGUUCGGCUGGGCACUCUAAAGGGACUGCCGGUGUUAAACCGGAGGAAGGUGGGGAUGACGUCAAGUCCUCAUGGCCUUUAUGACCAGGGCUACACACGUACUACAAUGGCCGAUACAAAGGGCAGCGACACUGCGAGGUGAAGCCAAUCCCGUAAAAUCGGUCUCAGUCCGGAUUGGAGUCUGCAACUCGACUCCAUGAAGUUGGAGUUGCUAGUAAUCGCGAAUCAGAAUGUCGCGGUGAAUGCGUUCCCGGGUCUU